GAUGAACGCUGGCGGCGUGCCUAAUACAUGCAAGUCGAGCGAACAGACGAGGAGCUUGCUCCUCUGACGUUAGCGGCGGACGGGUGAGUAACACGUGGAUAACCUACCUAUAAGACUGGGAUAACUUCGGGAAACCGGAGCUAAUACCGGAUAAUAUAUUGAACCGCAUGGUUCAAUAGUGAAAGACGGUUUUGCUGUCACUUAUAGAUGGAUCCGCGCCGCAUUAGCUAGUUGGUAAGGUAACGGCUUACCAAGGCAACGAUGCGUAGCCGACCUGAGAGGGUGAUAGGCCACACUGGAACUGAGACACGGUCCAGACUCCUACGGGAGGCAGCAGUAGGGAAUCUUCCGCAAUGGGCGAAAGCCUGACGGAGCAACGCCGCGUGAGUGAUGAAGGUCUUCGGAUCGUAAAACUCUGUUAUUAGGGAAGAACAAAUGUGUAAGUAACUAUGCACGUCUUGACGGUACCUAAUCAGAGAGCCACGGCUAACUACGUG
rnacentral:rRNA from 1 species